AUUGAACGCUGGCGGCAUGCUUUACACAUGCAAGUCGAACGGUAACAGGGUGCUUGCACCGCUGACGAGUGGCGAACGGGUGAGUAAUGCAUCGGAACGUACCCAGUCGUGGGGGAUAACGUAGCGAAAGUUACGCUAAUACCGCAUACGUCCUGAGGGAGAAAGCGGGGGACCGUAAGGCCUCGCGCGAUUGGAGCGGCCGAUGUCGGAUUAGCUAGUUGGUAGGGUAAAGGCCUACCAAGGCGACGAUCCGUAGCGGGUCUGAGAGGAUGAUCCGCCACACUGGGACUGAGACACGGCCCAGACUCCUACGGGAGGCAGCAGUGGGGAAUUUUGGACAAUGGGCGAAAGCCUGAUCCAGCCAUGCCGCGUGAGUGAAGAAGGCCUUCGGGUUGUAAAGCUCUUUCAGAUGGAAAGAAAACGUACAGGUUAAUACCUUGUGCGGAUGACGGUACCAUCAGAAGAAGCACCGGCUAACUACGUGCCAGCAGCCGCGGUAAUACGUAGGGUGCGAGCGUUAAUCGGAAUUACUGGGCGUAAAGCGUGCGCAGGCGGUUAUGUAAGACAGAUGUGAAAUCCCCGGGCUCAACCUGGGAACUGCGUUUGUGACUGCAUAACUAGAGUACGGCAGAGGGAGGUGGAAUUCCGCGUGUAGCAGUGAAAUGCGUAGAGAUGCGGAGGAACACCGAUGGCGAAGGCAGCCUCCUGGGCCAGUACUGACGCUCAUGCACGAAAGCGUGGGGAGCAAACAGG
rnacentral:rRNA from 1 species